UACGUAGGGUGCGAGCGUUAAUCGGAAUUACUGGGCGUAAAGUGUGCGCAGGCGGCUCUGCAAGUCGAGUGUGAAAUCCCCGAGCUUAACUUGGGAACUGCCGUUGAUACUAUAUAUCUUGAAUAUCGCGUAGGUAAGCGGAAUAUGUCAUGUAGCGGUGAAAUGCUUAGAUAUGACAUAGAACACCAAUUGCGAAGGCAGCUUACUUCACGAUUAUUGACACUGAGGCACGAAAGCGUGGGGAGCAAACAGG
rnacentral:rRNA from 1 species